AUUGAACGCUAGCGGGAUGCCUUACACAUGCAAGUCGAACGGCAGCGCGGACUUCGGUCUGGCGGCGAGUGGCGAACGGGUGAGUAGUGUAUCGGAACGUGCCCAGUAGCGGGGACAACCACUCGAAAGAGUGGCUAAUACCGCAUACGCCCUACGGGGAAAGGGGGGAUCGCAAGACCUCUCACUAUUGGAGCGGCCGAUAUCGGAUUAGCUAGUUGGUGGGGUAAAGGCCUACCAAGGCGACGAUCCGUAGCUGGUUUGAGAGGACGACCAAGCCACACUGGGACUGAGACACGGCCCAGACUCCUACGGGAGGCAGCAGUGGGGAAUUUUGGACGAUGGGGAAACCCUGAUCCAGCCAUUCCGCGUGUGCGAUGAAGGCCUCGGU
rnacentral:rRNA from 1 species